UGAUGGAUGCUGAAGAAGGGGGAGAGUAUUUUAGCAAAGUUUUCUCAAAGGAUUCAAUAUUUUUUAUUAUUAUUAUUAUUGUUUAUUACCUAAUGAAAGCUUACAUACCUUAAUUAUUCAUAGCUUGAUAUUAUGAUUUAACUAAAAUUCUAAUAAAAAUAAUUUUAAUUCAAGAUAUAAUCUAACAUAGAUAAUUCUAAUGAAACUCCAAUUGUUGCUGUUGCAGCAAUUGGAGUAAUUCUUGGCUGGCUCUUCUCAAUUUUAGCUUUCUUGCCCAUUACACUUUGCUCUUUGGGUAGAACAUUCAAGCCAACUUUUUCGGCUGGCGCUGUCGCCUCUGUUGUUCUUUUUGUAAGUCCAUUGUUGGCUGGGGUUUAUGUCUUUGCAACCACACAAAGAAGAAAGGUUCCUUUAUCCAAUAAACCCCUUUGUCUGUGUUGCUGCUUCAGCUGUCAUUGGAAGCUUUCCUGAUCUUUUCCAAGACAAGUAUAAUCCCCAGGACAGUUCUUGGCUGGUUUUGAUAGCUAAAUUUGUUAGGCCUGUAGUUCUUGGCCUGAUAUUAUCUGCAUCCCAAGCUCACACGUUUUCAUUGAUUAAUGGUUAUGGCUAUUGAGGCUUACAAAAUUUUGGAGCACCAUGAUGAUGUAGGGAAAGGUUCUACUCUUUGUGUCGGAAGUGAAUGGCAUCGGCUUCCUCCAUGAUUUUUUGUUCCUGAAUACAUCAGUGCAGUUUGGUGGAUUGAUGAUGGAUUCCGAGGUCUUCUUCCAUUACCUUUCAAUUCUACCCUGAGUGGGACUGCAUCAGCACCUCCUUACUUUAACAACAAGAACAGCUCCGAGAUCUUGAAGCUUGCACUUUCCUUAUUGAGCUGCAGCUUGAUUGACCUUACCCUACUCGUGGAAGUGACUUGUCAACUUGGGAGCUGAUUGCAGCAUUGCCCUAUCUAGACAGGGAGCUCUCAACCUCCCAUGCAUCGGUUCUUUUUCAUCCCACAUAUAAAGAAAUUAAUUUAAAAAUUACUAAUAAAUACUUGAUAUUAUGUAUUAUGUAAACAUGCAUUAUAUAGAGAAAUCAAUUUGAAA